rnacentral:tRNA from 1 species
AUCUAAUUAGUAUAAUAAGUAUUGUAAACUUCCAAUUUACAGGUCUGUUCCAAAUAGAUUAGAUA